CUUUUGUAUAAUGGGUCAGCGACUUAUAUUCUGUAGCAAGGUUAACCGAAUAGGGGAGCCGGAGGGAAACCGAGUCUUAAUUGGGCGUUAAGUUGCAGGGUAUAGACCCGAAACCCGGUGAUCUAGCCAUGGGCAGGUUGAAGGUUGGGUAACACUAACUGGAGGACCGAACCGACUAAUGUUGAAAAAUUAGCGGAUGACCUGUGGCUGGGGGUGAAAGGCCAAUCAAACCGGGAGAUAGCUGGUUCUCCCCGAAAGCUAUUUAGGUAGCGCCUCGUGAAUUCAUCUCCGGGGGUAGAGCACUGUUUCGGCUAGGGGGCCAUCCCGGCUUACCAACCCGAUGCAAACUGCGAAUACCGGAGAAUGUUAUCACGGGAGACACACGGCGGGUGCUAACGUCCGUCGUGAAGAGGGAAACAACCCAGACCGCCAGCUAAGGUCCCAAAGUCAUGGUUAAGUGGGAAACGAUGUGGGAAGGCCCAGACAGCCAGGAUGUUGGCUUAGAAGCAGCCAUCAUUUAAAGAAAGCGUAAUAGCUCACUGGUCGAGUCGGCCUGCGCGGAAGAUGUAACGGGGCUAAACCAU
rnacentral:rRNA from 2 species